CCUACGGGUGGCUGCAGUGGGGAAUAUUGGACAAUGGGCGAAAGCCUGAUCCAGCCAUGCCGCGUGUGUGAAGAAGGCCUUCGGGUUGUAAAGCACUUUCAGUGGGGAAGAAAGCCUUGGGGCUAAUACCCUCGAGGAAGGACAUCACCCACAGAAGAAGCACCGGCUAACUCCAUGCCAGCAGCCGCGGUAAUACGGAGGGUGCGAGCGUUAAUCGGAAUUACUGGGCGUAAGGCGCGCGUAGGCGGUCUGAUAAGCCGGUUGUGAAAGCCCCGGGCUCAACCUGGGAACGGCAUCCGGAACUGUCAGGCUAGAGUGCAGGAGAGGAAGGUAGAAUUCCCGGUGUAGCGGUGAAAUGCGUAGAGAUCGGGAGGAAUACCAGUGGCGAAGGCGGCCUUCUGGACUGACACUGACGCUGAGGUGCGAAAGCGUGGGUAGCAAACAGGAUUAGAUACCCCAGUAGUC
rnacentral:rRNA from 1 species